rnacentral:rRNA from 1 species
UACGUAGGUGGCGAGCGUUGUCCGGAAUUACUGGGUGUAAAGCGCGUGUAGGCGGCAGGCCAAGUCGGUGGUGAAAGCGCCCGGCUCAACUGGGCGAGGUCCAUGGAAACUGGUCAGCUGGAGGACGGUAGAGGCGAGUGGAAUUCCCGGUGUAGUGGUGAAAUGCGCAGAUAUCAGGAAGAACACCAAUGGCGAAAGCAGCUCUCUGGGACGGUACUGACGCUGAGACGCGAAAGCGUGGGGAGCGAACAGG